UGAGAUCAAAUUCAACGGAGAUGGCGGUUGUCAGGCCUAUGGGAUUCGAUUUUCUGUUUACUUUUUGAGAAUGGCAUGUUUGGUAUCCAGUACAAAACUUACUCUGCAACUUGGAUCUCAUUGGCUCAUCAUGAGAUAUAUACUGGAUAUGUCCCUAUGGAUUACAGAGAAUGUCUUAAGAAGAUGCCAAUGAAUGGAGAGUGGGGUUAUCAUGUUAUGCUGCAGGCCGCCGUGGACAUGGGUGGUGCCGGGUGCGUGGCUGUUGUUCCUUCGGAUUGGCCGGCCUACCUCGUGGGUGUCCAUCUCAGGUGCUCUUCUUCGCCGUCUACUCGAUGCACUGCAUGCCCUGCAGCCAACACUCUUUUCAUCUUUUUACGAGUCAUGAUGUGUUAUUUCCUUUGAAAUGGAUGAUUUGUUUAUAUGUGUUUCAUAAUCUGCUUUGAAUUGUACGACUGACUGCUUACUAGUGUGGAUUAUACAUGUUUGAUUCUCUGCUUUCAACUCUACGGGUGUUGUGGCGACCGCGACGGCGGCGGGUCUGCACGUGUUCGUGGUGCCGAGGGGGGGGAGCCGCUGCCGCCGCCGCCACCUCUACGUGGUACCUCUUCGACGAUGAGGCGGCACUGGUCGUGUCCUGGGCCACCCUGCCCAACAGGGAGCUGUUGUGCUGCCUGCUGCAGCUGGACGUCGGGUGGUGCGCCUGCGUCGUCGUCUGGGAGAAGGCCACUGGUGCAGGAGGGGUGGCGCUCUAUACCAACUCGGUAUGAGUUUGCCUUGCUCGGAUCAAAGCAUUAGGCCGAGGAAAAUGAAGAACGCAAGUUUGCCUCCUGGGGUGGCAGUCCUGCGAUGUUGGUGUGGCGAUCUUUGCAAGGUGAAGGAGGUGACGGAUUUUUCAGAUUGGUUGGGCAUGAAGUUUUUCAUGUGCGCCAAUUAUGAGGAAGAUCCUGCCGUAGCUAUUUCAGAGUACGACAAG